AAGUCGUAACAAGGUUUCCGUAGGUGAACCUGCGGAAGGAUCAUUAUUGAAUGAAUGUAGAGUCGGUUGUCGCUGGUCCCUUCGGGGGCAUGUGCACGCCUUCUCUUUCAUCCACACACACCUGUGCACUCGUGAGACGGAAGCCCUCGGGCGUCCGUCUGCUCUACAUAAACUCAUAUCUAUAAUUCCGAAUGUAAUUGAUGUAACACACCUUUAAACUAA
rnacentral:misc_RNA from 1 species